rnacentral:tRNA from 1 species
GGGGGCGUAGCUCAGUUGGCAGAGCGCGGGCUUGUCAGGCCUGAGGUCGCGGGUUCGAGCCCCGUCGUCCCCGCCA